UGCCCCAUGGCUGAGUUGGUUACAGCGUCCGACUGUUACUUACGACUUGUUUCCCGAGUCGGGUCAAUCGGAAGGUCGUGAGUUCGAGCCUCACUGGGGCAG
rnacentral:tRNA from 1 species